ensembl:lncRNA
CGUGGGGAGGGGUAGCAGCUGUUUGUGCCCCCGUCUCUCGCGCUUGUCCUCGUUCUGUAGUUUGCCUGUUCUCUUUCAAUGGCCACAUUAGCUCAAGGCAAUGUGUCAGCUACCUAAUGCGAUCCACCUUCGCUGUGCUCUGUGAGGGACCGUGUGAGCAGCGGCAGAGAGGGAGUGCCCUUCUGAAGCGUGAAAAUAGUUGUGUUGUGAAUGAGGCUUAUCUGCUGGAUCGCAGGGCCGUUCAUUCAUUUAGUCGCUUCACUAAUUGUGCACAGUUAACGGGAGUGGGAUUUCCAUCCUGGGAUCGCUUAUGAUGUGGACGUUGCCAUUCGAUAUUGUAACCCAAAGCUGAUGCAACAGUUUCAGUUUUGCACUGGCCAGUGUUGACACCAGAUAAAUGGGUACACACUUGCAGAACUUUUUAAUUGACCUGGGUUGAAGCCCAGAUCGCGAGAAAUGACAGACCAGCAACAAAGCAUACUUGUUAGGGCUGUGGGUGCUUUCGGUGAGCGAAGACUGGAGGAAGCAGGCUGGGAGCUCCGCAUGGUCUCCUCUUCCAUAGGUGCCAUAACUCAGAGCUGCAAACCCUAAUGAUGAGAACUGGCGGGUCAACUCGGAGACACCUACCUCUUAUGUCAUGAUGUUACUGGGCCUCAACUCAACUCAGCUGCCGUGGCUCCUCCCACCACCCCCUGAUGCCCCCUUCUGUAGCCCACCACACCUUCACCCCAUGGAAACUUACCUCCAGACCUUUUCAGAUUUCGGACAUGCACACACCUCUGGCAGAAAUGAUGGGUGGUUCCAAAAUGUUUGGUCGCAUGACGAUAAAAGUGCACGGUUUCCAAGAUACAGGAGGAGGGUCAACUUACCCACUGGCUCAUCUUACCCCACUCUCCCCUGGAGAUGAAAUACAGAAGCUUGUGGGUUCGUGUUGGUGGCAGUGCUGGCUGGAACUACAGGAGGACGUUUAGAUAUUAAUGGGUUAAAAAGUAAUCCAAAAAAUAAAAGACAGUAAUCAGAUUACAUUAUUUUAAUGUAGUAAGCAUUUAGAUUAAGUUACAGGUCAUUUUUAAUAGCUUAUCAGUAAUAUGUAAUGGAAUGCAUUUUCAAAAUAACACUCCCAACCAUGAUCAUUUGCCUAAACCUCUGUUUUUGUCUGUUUUUGUCCGUGAUGUGUUUUAAACAUUAAAACCUGAG